UACAGAGGUCUCAAGCGUUGUUCGGAUUCAUUGGGCGUAAAGGGUGUGUAGGCGGUUGUUUAAGUUUGGUGUGAAAUCUCCCGGCUCAACUGGGAGGGUGCGCCGAAUACUGAGCGACUAGAGUGCGGGAGAGGAAAGUGGAAUUCCUGGUGUAGCGGUGAAAUGCGUAGAUAUCAGGAGGAACACCGGUGGUGUAGACGGCUUUCUGGACCGUAACUGACGCUGAGACACGAAAGCGUGGGUAGCAAACAGG
rnacentral:rRNA from 1 species